UCGCCUGUUUAUCAAAAACAUCGCCUCUUGAUAACUUAUAAGAGGUCCAGCCUGCCCGGUGACAAAGUUUAACGGCCGCGGUAUCCUAACCGCGCGAAGGUAGCAUAAUCACUUGUUCUUUAAAUAGGGACUAGUAUCAACGGCAUCACGAAGGUUACACUGUCUCCUCCCUCCAAUCAGUGAAACUGAUCUCCCCGUGAAGAAGCGGGGAUUUUUUUAUAAGACGAGAAGACCCCAUGGAGCUUUAAGCUGAACAACAAUUUUCUAUACAUAUCCCUUUUAACCCGAAAAUCCUGAUUGUUAGCUUUAGGUUGGGGUGACCGCGGAGUACAACACAACCUCCACAACGAAUGGGUUUCAACCCCUUAUCUAAGAGCCACUGCUCUAAGAAUCAUUAAAUUGACGAAAAAUGAUCCGAUCUUCGAUCAACGAACCAAGUUACCCUGGGGAUAACAGCGCAAUCCAUUUCAAGAGCUCCUAUCGACAAAUGGGUUUACGACCUCGAUGUUGGAUCAGGGUAUCCUAGUGGUGCAACCCCUACUAAUGGUUCGUUUGUUCAACGAUUAAAACCCUACGUGAUCUGAGUUCAGACCGGA
rnacentral:rRNA from 1 species